GUAGGGAAUCUUCCACAAUGGGCGCAAGCCUGAUGGAGCAACGCCGCGUGAGUGAAGAAGGUCUUCGGAUCGUAAAACUCUGUUGUUAGAGAAGAACACGAGUGAGAGUAACUGUUCAUUCGAUGACGGUAUCUAACCAGCAAGUCACGGCUAACUACGUGGCAG
rnacentral:rRNA from 1 species